ACGAUGAAGCCUUUUCCGGGGUUGGAUUAGUUGGCGAACGGGUGAGUAACACGUUGGGCAAUCUGCCCUUCACUCUGGGACAAGCCCUGGAAACGGGGUCUAAUACCGGAUAACACUCCUCAGGGCAUCUUGAGGGGUUAAAAGCUCCGGCGGUGAAGGAUGAGCCCGCGGCCUAUCAGCUUGUUGGUGGGGUGAUGGCCUACCAAGGCGACGACAGGUAGCCGGCCUGAGAGGGCGACCGGCCACACUGGGACUGAGACACGGCCCAGACUCCUACGGGAGGCAGCAGUGGGGAAUAUUGCACAAUGGGCGAAAGCCUGAUGCAGCGACGCCGCGUGAGGGAUGACGGCCUUCGGGUUGUAAACCUCUUUCAGCAGGGAAGAAGCGAAAGUGACGGUACCUGCAGAAGAAGCGCCGGCUAACUACGUGCCAGCAGCCGCGGUAAUACGUAGGGCGCAAGCGUUGUCCGGAAUUAUUGGGCGUAAAGAGCUCGUAGGCGGCUUGUCACGUCGGAUGUGAAAGCCCGGGGCUUAACCCCGGGUCUGCAUUCGAUACGGGCUAGCUAGAGUGUGGUAGGG
rnacentral:rRNA from 1 species